UACGCAGGUGGCAAGCGUUGUCCGGAUUUACUGGGCGUAAAGAGCGCGCAGGCGGUCGUUCAAGUCGCGUGUGAAAGCCCCCGGCUCAACUGGGGAGGGUCACGCGAUACUGAUCGACUCGAAGGCAGGAGAGGGUAGUGGAAUUCCCGGUGUAGUGGUGAAAUGCGUAGAUAUCGGGAGGAACACCAGUGGCGAAGGCGACUACCCGGCCUGUUCUUGACGCUGAGGCGCGAAAGCUAGGGGAGCAAACGGG
rnacentral:rRNA from 1 species